rnacentral:tRNA from 1 species
GCGAGAUUAGUUUAACGGUAAAAUAACAGUUUUCCAAACUGUGGUCACGGGUUCGACUCCCGUAUCUCGCA